GACGAACGCUGGCGGCGUGCUUAACACAUGCAAGUCGAACGGAAAGGCCCUGCUUUUGUGGGGUGCUCGAGUGGCGAACGGGUGAGUAACACGUGAGUAACCUGCCCUUGACUUUGGGAUAACUUCAGGAAACUGGGGCUAAUACCGGAUAGGAGCUCCUGCUGCAUGGUGGGGGUUGGAAAGUUUCGGCGGUUGGGGAUGGACUCGCGGCUUAUCAGCUUGUUGGUGGGGUAGUGGCUUACCAAGGCUUUGACGGGUAGCCGGCCUGAGAGGGUGACCGGCCACAUUGGGACUGAGAUACGGCCCAGACUCCUACGGGAGGCAGCAGUGGGGAAUAUUGCACAAUGGGCGGAAGCCUGAUGCAGCAACGCCGCGUGCGGGAUGUCGGCCUUCGGGUUGUAAACCGCUUUCGCCUGCGACGAAGCGUGAGUGACGGUAAUGGGUAAAGAAGCACCGGCUAACUACGUG
rnacentral:rRNA from 1 species